rnacentral:rRNA from 1 species
CCUACGGGAGGCAGCAGUGGGGAAUAUUGCGCAAUGGAGGCAACUCUGACCCAGCAAUGCCGCGUGAGUGAUGAAGGUAAUUUUAUUGUAAAGCUCUUUUCUUUGGAACGAAUAAAUGCCGGUCUCACUGGAAUACGCCCCGUCUAUCUACGUGCAAGCCGACGCGGUAAUACGUAGGUGGCAAGCGUUAUCCGGAUUUAUUGGGCGUAAAGGGAACGCAGGCGGUCUUGUAAGUCUGAUGUGAAAGCCUUCGGCUUAACCGGAGUAGUGCAUUGGAAACUGGGAGGCUGGAGUGCAGAAGAGGUGAGUGGAACUCCAAGUGUAGCGGUGAAAUGCGUAGAUAUAAGGAAGAACACCAGUGGCGAAGGCGGCUCUCUGGUCUGUAACUGACGUUGAGGUGCGAAAGCGUGGGGAGCAAACAGGAUUAGAUACCCGUGUAGUC